UACGUAGGGUGCAAGCGUUGUCCGGAAUUAUUGGGCGUAAAGAGCUCGUAGGCGGUUUGUCGCGUCUGCUGUGAAAAUCCAGGGCUUAACCCUGGACCUGCAGUGGGUACGGGCAGACUGGAGUGCGGUAGGGGAGAUCGGAAUUCCUGGUGUAGCGGUGAAAUGCGCAGAUAUCUGGAGGAAUACCGGUGGCGAAGGCGGCAUCCUGGACCGACAUUGACGCUGAGGAGCGAAAGCUAGGGGAGCAAACGGG
rnacentral:rRNA from 1 species